rnacentral:tRNA from 1 species
GCGAGGUCAGGUCAGNGGGUAGAGCGCUCGCUUUGCAUGCGAGAAGUCGGGGGUUCGAAUCCCCCAUCCUCCA